rnacentral:lncRNA from 1 species
UGUAAAAGUCAAGGUGUGGAAAGUACCCGUAAAAAACUGAGAGCAUCAAACAAUAUUUGUGAUGUUUCUCUUUGUGUUUUAAUCACAUCAGUUACUGGAGUUACAACAGAGAGAGAAACAUCAGGAGAACUGACAUUGUGAAUGUUCACUAGUUACUGGAGUGAAUGUUCACUAGUUACAACACAGAGAGAGAAACAUCAGGAGAACUGACUGUGAAUGUUCACUCUCACAUUUUCGUGGUGUUUGUGUAUUCAGCUUGUUGACAACAAAGUGCUGGCUGCUAACCUGUCUUUGUAAACAGUUUGACAAGACCCACCUGUCCACUUCUGUCUACACGGCCAGACAACAUCGUAAACAGGUCGUCAACAAACAACAAAUGGCAACAAACAGUCGCCUCUCUAUAUAACUAUGCGAACUUGAGGUCAGAAGCCAACGUCUGUCUGUGCCAGUCGGUCAACGCAUUCCACUGGCUUUGUUUCUUGAGCUUUGGGCGAGGAUGGAGGUCAAGAAUGUUAGGCUUAGUCUCCAGCACCAGACCUGCUUCUCUCUCCCUGUCACCAUACCCCAGCCCUGUGGACACGCUCAUAGCACGUCACCAAAAUGGCGCAGAAGAAAGUGCGCGCGCACACGCCUACCUACCUAUACAGGACUGAUGGAAGUUGAUUCAAUCAAACCUACACACGGACACACAGAGCAUGGCAGCACACAGUGUGUGGAAUGUCGAAGUUGCUGCCAGCCUGCUCCAUCAUGUCCGGCUGUCUACAAGGCUGAGUGCUCCUCUCCACAACACUACCGAGGACCUGACACAGUCGUCUGGUCUGUAGGUUCAAUCCUCCGUCGACUGGAGGCUGUACAUGGCAACGACGCAGAGAAGAUGGAGCCGACUGCCUGCACUGUGUGACCUCAGCCGUUAUGGUCAGAGAGAGGCCGGAAGUGGACACUGUCAGUGUGGAGUUCACUGUCCCUAUGACGCUUGCUGUCACUACCCACAGCAUUAUUUACUUUAUCAAUUCACAAAUCUGUCAGUAACGACCAAAUUAAAAGUAAUUAACACAAUUAACAAAUAAACACAUUUCGAGCUGAGCAAACAUGCAAAAGACCAAUGGUUUGUUUGGCAGAGCGCGGCCUCCACGAAAGACAACUCCAUCAACUCCAUCAGACACAAGAGGGAGCCACUCGAUCAGACGACGAUUAGAACAAAACAACAAUGAUGAGGGCAAUGACGAUGUCAAAGGUUAUACAUGCCAAAGGACAAUGGUGUUUGUAUGAGUGGGGAAAGUGUUAGAAGGACUCCAGAAAAGUCGACUGUGGCGCCACACACAGCAACCAUAACCCUCCGAGUCACUGUCAUCGCUGUUGACAAGAUUCCUGUCACAAUAUUCCCCGAUAGUCAGAUAUAGUCGCUGUCAAGUAUAGUGUGCUGUCUACCUGGCUGAUGACAAUCACAGUGUGCUGUCUACCUGGCUGAUGACAAUCACAGUGUGCUGUCUACCUGGCUGAUAACAUAGUGUGCUGCCUACCUGGCUGAUGACAAUCACAGUGUGCUGUCUACCUGGCUGAUAACAUAGUGUGCUGUCUACCUGGCUGAUAACAUAGUGUGCUGUCUACCUGGCUGAUAACAUAGUGUGCUGUCUACCUGGCUGAUGACAAUCACAGUGUGCUGUCUACCUGGCUGAUGACAAUCACAGUGUGCUGCCUACCUGGCUGAUGACAUCACAGUGUGCUGCCUACCUGGCUGAUGACAAUCACAGUGUGCUGUCUACCUGGCUGAUGACAAUCACAGUGUGCUGCCUACCUGGCUGAUGACAAUCACAGUGUGCUGUCUACCUGGCUGAUGACAAUCACAGUGUGCUGCCUACCUGGCUGAUGACAAUCACAGUGUGCUGUCUACCUGGCUGAUGACAAUCACUGUGUGCUGCCUACCUGGCUGAUGACAAUCACUGUGUGCUGUCUACCUGGCUGAUGACAAUCACACUGUGCUGUCUACCUGGCUGAUGACAAUCACACUGUGCUGUCUACCUGGCUGAUGACAAUCACAGUGUGCUGCUUGUGGAAGUCUACCUGCUUUGUUGUGAUGAAAGGUGCGCUGCGCACGUGAGUAAAGCUCAAGCUCCUGUCCUUCCUAAGAUUUCCAGAGAUUGCCUGCAGGAAUGCGUGAGUAAGCACGGCUCACUGUGUCAAACAACAGUGGAGAAUGUCGGGUGGCACUGUAGCAACAGUCGAUAACGGUCUUGCAAGACCGACAUCGCCGCCAACAUCGAUAAGAUUGUUCACAAAGAGACUUGGCCCCAGACCAGCACACUACCCGGCAACAACCACCCUGCCGCCGCCAAACGCCCGAUCGAUGUCUACCCGACUGAAGUUGCCGGGUGAAGAUGAAGCUCACGACAGUUGGACUCAAUACACCCGUCGUCUGUCUCCUUGCACACAGCCCAACAGUUCACACCAAUCAUAUCAUUACCCACUGUGUUUCAUCAUCAAUGACAUCAUCAACCACAUCGUCAUUCUCAUCAGUCUCAGUAUUACUCAUACCCUCACGCGAGGUCACACGUCGGACUCGUGCCUGAAGCAAGCACAGUGCAGUCUGAGGGUGAACACAGCUCGUGACACCUGCCUCACUACGAACUACAAACAAACUACAAACAAACUACAAAGUAUAGCCGUCCAUCUUGCUGGACAAGCCACUGCGACAGACGGGUGCAGCUUCAGCGAGCAGGUCACCUGAGCGCCGGACGCUGAGUGUGCAGUCGGUCAUUCCCAGAAACUCCUAGACACGCUUGAGUGCACAUGAGUCUGCUUUGAGUGCACAUGAAUUACCCGCGGAUGAGGCUUCUGCGGCGAAACAGGCGUCAAGGGACUGAACGCGGCCAGGGAGGCAGAGAACUCCGCCGGUCUCCUCCAUUAGCAAAUAUCACGUGACAGCGCUUGCGCCUCGGCCAUCGGCUUCUAACGACACCGACUCGCGGAAAAUGGGACAACGAAGCAAAAAAUGUUUUUUUUUAAUUCAAAAGAAAAAGAUGCUACAAAGAAACAAAAAGAAUUAAAACAGAAUGAAAAAUGUAUGAAAUCCAAAUGGAUAUCAUGAAAGUAUUGUAAAGAAGCAUAAAGAGUAUUGAUUUCUAUCCAUUAUUUUACUUUUAUAUUCCAGAGUCGUCAGCAACAUGAAUCAUCUUUAUUCGAUGAGAGCGACCAUAUCUCUGGUGAGAAUGAAAUAAAAUAUAAUUUG